ensembl:snoRNA
AGUCCUUUGUAGUUUGUGAGCAUGAUGAGGAGUGUUCACAUGCAGUGUGAAGUGUGCCAGCCUCGAACUUUGUUACGUCAGCACAUUACCCAUCUCACC